rnacentral:rRNA from 1 species
GUAGGUGGCAAGCGUUGUCCGGGAAUUAUUGGGGCGUAAAGCGCGCGCAGGCGGUUCUUUAAGUCUGAUGUGAAAGCCCACGGGCUCAACCGUGGAGGGUCAUUGGAAACUGGAGAACUUGAGUACAGAAGAGGAAAGCGGAAUUCCACGUGUAGCGGUGAAAUGCGUAGAGAUGUGGAGGAACACCAGUGGCGAAGGCGGCUUUCUGGUCUGUAACUGACGCUGAGGCGCGAAAGCGUGGGGAGCAAACAGGAUUAGAUACCCUGGUAGUCCACGCCGUAAAUGAUGAGUGCUAAGUGUUAGGGGGUUUCCGCCCCUUAGUGCUGCAGCUAACGCAUUAAGCACUCCGCCUGGGGAGUACGGCCGCAAAGGCUG